UUUAACCUUGUUGAUAUGCCCAUUUUCCAAGCUCCUACAAGGUAAAGAAUGAUAUAACUCUGCAGAAAAGUCCUUGGAAAUCAAUAAAGGUAGCUGCUUUCUUGAUAAAACUGAAGUGGAAGGAUGCACUGAAGUGUAAAAAACAGUUGAAUACAUCUUUUAAUUGAACCCCAGUUCAAGAAAAGAAGAUUCGAGUUUUUCUUCCAAUGUAUGUAUGAUUCAGUGAAAAGAAGAUUUAUUGAAAAAAUUGUUAAUUAG
rnacentral:misc_RNA from 1 species